ensembl:snRNA U6 U6 spliceosomal RNA
GUGUUCCCUUUGGCAGCACAUGUAGUAAAAUUGGAAGGACGCACAGAAGAUUAGCAUGGCCGCUGUGGGCAAGGAUGACACACAAAUUCACGAAGCAUCAAAAAUAAAC